GCAAUUUAUCAAAUGGAAACGACGAGCGAGCGACAGCAAAGAUGAAGACGACGACACGAUAUCAAGUGAUGAGCAGGACAGACUCUGCUCCACAGCGUGAGUGAGAGAGGGAGAGGGAGAGGCAGCUACUAAAACUCACUCAAAGCGCAACAUACAAAAAAAUGGCACAAGAGAAGAAAAAUAGGAGUUGGUUGUUUUGAGACAACUUCUCUCCGUUGUUCCUUUGCGUUUUC
rnacentral:lncRNA from 1 species